rnacentral:rRNA from 1 species
AGAGUUUGAUCCUGGCUCAGAGCGAACGCUGGCGGCAGGCCUAACACAUGCAAGUCGAGCGCCCCGCAAGGGGAGCGGCAGACGGGAGAGUAACACGUGGGAACGUACCCUUCAGUUCGGAACAACCCAGGGAAACUUGGGCUAAUACCGAAUACGUCCGUAAGGAGAAAGAUUUAUCGCUGAAGGAUCGGCCCGCGUCUGAUUAGCUUGUUGGUGAGGUAACGGCUCACCAAGGCGACGAUCAGUAGCUGGUCUGAGAGGAUGAUCAGCCUCACUGGGACUGAGACACGGCCCAGACUCCUACGGGAGGCAGCAGUGGGGAAUAUUGGACAAUGGGCGCAAGCCUGAUCCAGCCAUGCCGCGUGGGUGAUGAAGGCCCUAGGGUUGUAAAGCCCUUCGGCGGGGAAGA